GAGGAAAAGAAACUAACAAGGAUUCCCCUAGUAACGGCGAGUGAAGCGGGAAGAGCUCAAAUUUGAAAUCUGGCAGUCUUCGAUUGUCCGAGUUGUAAUCUAUAGAGGCGUUUUCCGUGCCGGACCGUGUCCAAGUCUCCUGGAAAGGAGUAUCAAAGAGGGUGAUAAUCCCGUACUUAACACGACCACCGGUGCUCUGUGAUACGUCUUCUACGAGUCGAGUUGUUUGGGAAUGCAGCUCAAAAUGGGUGGUGAAUUCCAUCUAAAGCUAAAUAUUGGCGAGAGACCGAUAGCGAACAAGUACCGUGAGGGAAAGAUGAAAAGCACUUUGGAAAGAGAGUUAAACAGUACGUGAAAUUGUUGAAAGGGAAACGAUUGAAGUCAGUCGUGUUCUUUGGAUUCAGCCAGUUCUGCUGGUCUACUUCCUUGGAACGGGUCAACAUCAGUUUUGUCCGGUGGAUAAAGGUAGUAGGAAUGUGACUUCUCCGGAAGUGUUAUAGCCUAUUAUCACAUACACUGGGUGAGACUGAGGACUGCAGCUCGCCUUUAUGGCCGGCCUUCGGGCACGUUCGAGCUUAGGAUGUUGACAUAAUGGCUUUAAACGACCCGUCUUG
rnacentral:rRNA from 1 species